UUCGCAAUGCCCGAAAGGGUGACGAAGCGACGCCGCGUGGGUGAAGAAGGCCUUCGGGUUGUAAAACCCUGUCAGGAGUUAUGAAAUAUAAGUCCGCUAAUAUCGUGCUUAUUUGACAAAGGCUCCAAAGGAAGCCACGGCUAACUCUGUGCCAGCAGCCGCGGUAAUACAGAGGUGGCGAGCGUUGUUCGGAAUUAUUGGGCGUAAAGAGCACGUAGGUGGGUUUGCAAGUCAGAUGUGAAAGCCUUCUGUUCAACGGGAGAAUUGCAUCUGAAACUGCUAAUCUUGAGUAUAGGAGGGGAGAAUGGAACUUCUGGUGGAGCGGUGAAAUGCGUAGAUAUCAGAAGGAACGCCGGCGGCGAAAGCGAUUCUCUGGCCUAUUACUGACACUCAGUGUGCGAAAGCUAGGGGAGCAAACGGGAUUAGAUACCCCGGUAGUCCUAGCCGUAAACGAUGGGCACUAAGUAGA
rnacentral:rRNA from 1 species